rnacentral:rRNA from 1 species
AGUGAACGCUGGCGGUAGGCCUAACACAUGCAAGUCGAACGGCAGCACAGGAGAGCUUGCUCUCUGGGUGGCGAGUGGCGGACGGGUGAGGAAUACAUCGGAAUCUACUCUGUCGUGGGGGAUAACGUAGGGAAACUUACGCUAAUACCGCAUACGACCUACGGGUGAAAGCAGGGGACCUUCGGGCCUUGCGCGAUUGAAUGAGCCGAUGUCGGAUUAGCUAGUUGGCGGGGUAAAGGCCCACCAAGGCGACGAUCCGUAGCUGGUCUGAGAGGAUGAUCAGCCACACUGGAACUGAGACACGGUCCAGACUCCUACGGGAGGCAGCAGUGGGGAAUAUUGGACAAUGGGCGCAAGCCUGAUCCAGCCAUACCGCGUGGGUGAAGAAGGCCUUCGGGUUGUAAAGCCCUUUUGUUGGGAAAGAAAUCCAGCUGGCUAAUACCCGGUUGGGAUGACGGUACCGGAAGAAUAAGGACCGGCUAACUACGUGCCAGCAGCCGCCGUAA